CGGGGUGAGUAAUGUCUGGGAAACUGCCUGAUGGAGGGGGAUAGCUACUGGAAACGGUAGCUAAUACCGCAUAACGUCGCAAGACCAAAGAGGGGGACCUUAGGGCCUCUUGCCAUCGGAUGUGCCCAGAUGGGAUUAGCUAGUAGGUGGGGUAAUGGCUCACCUAGGCGACGAUCCCUAGCUGGUCUGAGAGGAUGACCAGCCACACUGGAACUGAGACACGGUCCAG
rnacentral:rRNA from 1 species